rnacentral:rRNA from 1 species
ACUCCUACGGGAGGCAGCAGUGGGGAAUAUUGCACAAUGGGCGCAAGCCUGAUGCAGCGACGCCGCGUGAGGGAUGACGGCCUUCGGGUUGUAAACCUCUUUCAGCAGGGAAGAAGCGCAAGUGACGGUACCUGCAGAAGAAGCGCCGGCUAACUCCGUGCCAGCAGCCGCGGUAAUACGUAGGGCGCAAGCGUUAUCCGGAAUUAUUGGGCGUAAAGAGCUCGUAGGCGGUUUAUCGCGUCUGCUGUGAAAAUCCGAGGCUUAACCUCGGACUUGCAGUGGGUACGGAUAGACUAGAGUGAUGUAGGGGAGACUGGAAUUCCUGGUGUAGCGGUGGAAUGCGCUGAUAUCAGGAGGAACACCAAUGGCGAAGGCAGGUCUCUGGGCAUUUACUGACGCUGAGGAGCGAAAGCGUGGGGAGCGAACAGGAUUAGAUACCCUGGU